rnacentral:rRNA from 1 species
AUUGAACGCUGGCGGCAGGCCUAACACAUGCAAGUCGAACGGUAGCAGGAAGAAGCUUGCUUCUUUGCUGACGAGUGGCGGACGGGUGAGUAAUGUCUGGGAAACUGCCUGAUGGAGGGGGAUAACUACUGGAAACGGUAGCUAAUACCGCAUAACGUCGCAAGACCAAAGAGGGGGACCUUCGGGCCUUUUGCCAUCGGAUGUGCCCAGAUGGGAUUAGCUAGUAGGUGGGGUAACGGCUCACCUAGACGACGAUCCCUAGCUGGUCUGAGAGGAUGACCAGCCACACUGGAACUGAGACACGGUCCAGACUCCUACGGGAGGCAGCAGUGGGGAAUAUUGCACAAUGGGCGCAAGCCUGAUGCAGCCAUGCCGCGUGUAUGAAGAAGGCCUUCGGGUUGUAAAGUACUUUCAGCGGGGAGGAAGGGAGUAAAGUUAAUACCUUUGCUCAUUGACGUUACCCGCAGAAGAAGCACCGGCUAACUCCGUG